rnacentral:rRNA from 1 species
GGAUUAGAUACCCUGGUAGUCCACGCCGUAAACGAUGGAUACUAGCUGUUCGGCAUUUAUGUUGAGUGGCUAAGCGAAAGUGAUAAGUAUCCCACCUGGGGAGUACGUUCGCAAGAAUGAAACUCAAAGGAAUUGACGGGGGCCCGCACAAGCGGUGGAGCAUGUGGUUUAAUUCGAUGAUACGCGAGGAACCUUACCAGGGCUUAAAUGUAAGUUGACAGGAUUGGAAACAAUUUUUUCUUCGGACAAUUUACAAGGUGCUGCAUGGUUGUCGUCAGCUCGUGUCG